UACAUAGGUCUCAAGCGUUGUUCGGAUUCAUUGGGCGUAAAGGGUGCGUAGGUGGCUCCGUAAGUCGGGUGUGAAAUUUCGGAGCUUAACUCCGAAACUGCAUUCGAUACUGCGGUGCUUGAGGACUGGAGAGGAGACUGGAAUUCAUGGUGUAGCAGUGAAAUGCGUAGAGAUCAUGAGGAAGACCAGUGGCGAAGGCGGGUCUCUGGACAGUUCCUGACGCUGAGGCACGAAGGUCAGGGGAGCAAACGGG
rnacentral:rRNA from 1 species